GGAAAAAUCAAACAACCCUAUCAAAAAGUGGGCAAAGGACAUGAACAGAAACUUCUCAAAAGAAGACAGAAAAGAAGGAUGCGAAGGUGGCUAUGGCAAAGGCUCAAGCCGUUGGGGCCCUCAGAGGCAGGUGAUAAUGAAAGGCUUAUAUUUUCAACAGAGUUCCACAAAUGAAGAAACAAGAUUUGUAUUUCAAGAAAGGGAAAAUCUCCCUGUUACUCAGGAUAACUUUGUGAAACUUCAAGUUAAAGCUUGUGCUCUGAGCCAGAUAAAUACAAAGCUUCUGGCAGAAAUGAAGAUGAAAAAGGAGUUCUUUCCUGUUGGGAGAGAAAUUGCUAGAAUUGUGUUAGAGGUUGGAAGCAAGGUAUCAUUCUUUCAACCAGAUGAUGAAGUAGUCGGAAUUUUGCCCCUGGAUUCUGAAGACCCUGGACUUUGUGAAGUUGUUAGAGUAUAUGAGCACUACUUGGUUCAUAAACCAGAAAAGGUUACCUGGACAGAAGCAGCUGGAACUAUUCGGGAUGGAGUACGAGCCUAUAUAGCUCUGCAUCUUUCUCAUCUCUCUCCUGGAAAAUCAGUGCUGAUCAUGGGUGGAGCAAGUGCAUUUGGUACAAUAGCUAUUCAGUUAGCACCCCAUAGGGGAGCCAAAGUGAUUUCAACUGCAUGCAGCCUUGAAGACAAGCAGUUCCUUGAAAGACUUAGGCCUUCUGUAGCCAGAGUGAUUGAUGUAUCUAAUGGGAAAGUCCAUGUUGCUGAAAGCUGUUUGGAAGAAACAGGUGGCCUGGGAGUAGAUAUUGUCCUAGAUGUUGGAGUGAGAUUAUAUAGUAAAAAUGAUGAACCAGCUGUAAAAUUACAACUACUGCCACAUAAACAUGAUAUCAUCACACUUCUUGGUGUUGGAGGCCAUUGGGUAACAACAGAAGAAAACCUUCAGUUGGAUCUUCCGGACAGCCAUUGUCUUUUCUUCAAGGGAGCAACGGUAGAUUUCCUUAAUGAUGAAGUUUGGAAUUUGUCAAAUGUACAACAGAGAAAAUAUCUUUGUAUCUUAAAAGAUGUGGUGGAGAAGUUAUCAACUGGUGUUUUUAGACCUCAGUUGGAUGAACCCAUUCCACUAUAUGAGGCGAAAGUUUCCGUGGAAGUUGUUCAGAAAAAUCAAGGAAGAAAAAAGCAAGUCGUUCAAUUUUAAUUUUCUUCUUUCUCAAAACUUCAGUUGGGAAGUAUUUGAAAAAUUAUUGUGCAGACGAUCAAGAUAAUUCUGUGACAUCUAAAGGGAUAGUCUAAAAACAUUUUUAAUUAUUGUUUCUGUACAAAAAAAAAAGACAGAAUAAUGGCCAACAAAUAGAUGAAAA